rnacentral:lncRNA from 1 species
UUUGGAUGCACAUUUGGUGCAAGCCUGAUAAAACUAACAUGCAUCAGUAUCAAACUCAGACAGAGCCACAACAUAUCUCCAACAAUAAGAUCAAAACUCUAUUUAAACACCAACUAAUAGCAAUGCCAAGCAUAUGUUUGGUUAAAUGUGCAGUGUCUGCAAAGUCCAUACCUAGGAACCGCUGUUCGUGGCAUUUUGCACUUGUCACAAUAGAGUUGUCCUGCAAUAAAAUUGAUCCUGGAAGCACACCUAGUGCAAAUCUGGUAAAACCAACCGGCAUCCAUAUCGAAAUCACAGGCCCACGCCAAAACGAAACGACAACAUUUCUACACCAAUAAGAAGUGUAUUGCACUUAUAAAUUAGCCACCGGAAAACAGGAUAAUUAAAUAGAAAAAACAAAGAAUUACAUAAAGAAACUAAAUGAAAUGAGUUCAUUUGAAAAUAGAAAUUCAAGUUGCUCAAUCACUAAAUGAAUCCCUUCCAAGAAUUAGAGAGCUUGGCCUCUNNNNNNNNNNNNNNNNNNNNNNNNNNNNNNNNNNNNNNNNNNNNNNNNNNNNNNNNNNACUCAAAUCACCUGCAUGUAUGCAUAGAUUCCCCAAACUCCAUACCAAGAACCAAAUGAGAGAGUUUAUAUUAAAAUUAAAUCAUAUUAAACAGCACAAACUAAAGUAUAAACCAGAAAUAGUUGCUCUUUUGUGAUAGUAAUAAACUGAUAACUUUUUUUAGAGCCUUGCUUUGUUGAAACGGUUAAAAAUAGUAUAGAUCAAAGUGAUUAUGUUGAGACUUGACUACAGGCAUGAACAAAAAAGUGGAAGAGAGGUCCAUGGAAAUAUAAUGCAGCAAAAGCACUUAGAUUGAACUGAUUAAAUAACCAAACUGUAGAUAAUGUUAGUUCAUAGAAAGAUUAAGCAAGUACUUGUUGCAGCUGCAGCAAUAAGAGUUAUAAGAUCACCCGGUGUUUGAAUAUCAACUGCAGACUUGACGGUAGAAGCGACACGGUCAAAAGCAAUAAUUGAAACUGAAUCAAAACUACCCUCAAAUCAAAUUUCAUGUUACUCACUCUUGUCCCAUGAUGGAUUCAAGAAAUCACAUAUCAAAACCUACACACAAAAAAAACUACAAAAUCAGAAAUUAUCAAAAUCUCAAUGUAAAAACAACCAAGUGGACAAGUACACUACAAAAAAUGAUUGAAUAAAGUGCACUGAGUUAGAUAAACACACUUACUCCAAAUCUUCAAGGGUGGCAUCCAAGACCUUACUUAUCUACUUGGUACUGUUUCACAUUUGUUCCUUCUCUUACGGAAAAUACCCAUUCCCUUACCCUGUAAUUAUCAUUCAAGAAUUCAAGUUUAGAAAACAGUAUAAAACAAUAUUGCAAUGAAAUUAGACAAUAACAAUAUUCAUUGUUGUUUAUCAUCCUCCAUCUAGAUUUUCUUCCAAACCCAGGAAAAGAUGAAAAACUAUUUGAAAAAGAACAAAAGAAUAACAUAUAACAGGCCUCUAAAUAGAAGUAAUUAAGAACAAUAAUCACUGACAAUAAUUCUCAAAAUGUUUAACAAAAAUAAAAUUUACUUGUCUGCAAAAUUAUAAUUCUCAAAAUGUUUAACAAAAAUAAAAUUUACUUGUCUGCAAAAUUUCAUUUCAAUGAAAGAACUUAGAAAUGUCAGAAAAAAUUGGUUUCAUAACCCCAAUUGGAAAGGAAAACCUUUAACAGAACAACACAUUAUGAUUUAACACCAACCAACCUUGAUGGGUAAAUGACUUCAACACCAGUAACUUCCUUUGAUAUAGAUUUCAAAAAAAUCUCUGAUGGCUUAACCCUAGACAUAAGCCAUACCCCUAAUCUGCAAAAACCCAAAACCACAUUUAAGAAUCAAGAACAAAAAUUUCCCAAAAGAACAGAAACAAAAAACUUGAAAAUUACUAACCCAGAAUCUUCUUCUUGAAAGAUCCAUCAGGUGCCUUUUCCAAACCAACCCAACCAUCAUUCAUGUGCAUCAAAAGAAGUCAUUAAAAAACAAACACAUACUGUAAAAAAUUUAACUCAGAAAAAACCACCAAGACACAAAAAUUAGUAGAAUCAUCUUUACCUCUUUCUGAAAUUGUGGUCAUAGUGAUUUUUCUAGUCACCUGAGUUUAUUGACAUCCAAAGAUCAAAUUUCAUGGAGGAGUCUUAUCCUUCCAUGGAGCCUGCAAAAAAACAACAUAGAAGACCAAUUAGAGAGAUGAAUAUUGACAAAUUGAGAAAGAUGAAAUCUAGAAGAUGAAUUUAGAGAUACAUCACCAUCCACCAUAACCACCACACAUCACCACCACCUCCAAUCUUCAAUCAUCCUCACCAACAACAAAAAAAAAAGCAACGAAAAAAAAUAAAUAAAUAGAGCAUACAAUUUGAGAUCGAACCAGAGGAAAGAAGGAGCAAGAAGCUUCAUUGCCGCCGUUGCCAAGCACCGCCGUGUCACCACAAACGGCCACAAGAACUCUCUCGGCCGGAGCUCCUCCUCCUCCUCGCCAGAACUUCUCUCCCGCCGGCAAAUCUUCUCUCACUCGGCCACUCCCUCACUCUUACGAGUGAUUGAUUUGUAGAUGGUGGUGGAGGCUGUGGUGUGGAUGUUAUGGUGAAUGAUGAGAUGGGGAGUGCAGAGAGAAAGAGAGAUGAAAGUGUGAGAGGAAGGUGAGAAAGAGGGAGAGCGUACGAGAGGGGGAAGAGAGAGAAAAAAUUUCAC